rfam:Picea glauca, whole genome shotgun sequence.
AUGUACAUUCCUACAACAUAGUGUUAAUGCAACAGAUCCCAUUAGAACUCUGUAGUUAAGCGUUCUCGAGCUAGAGUAGUACUGGGAUGGGUGACCGCCCGAGAAGUCCUAGUAUUUUACAUG